rnacentral:rRNA from 1 species
ACUCCUACGGGAGGCAGCAGUGGGGAAUAUUGCACAAUGGGCGCAAGCCUGAUGCAGCCAUGCCGCGUGUAUGAAGAAGGCCUUCGGGUUGUAAAGUACUUUCAGCAGUGAGGAAGGUGGGUAUGUUAAUAGCAUACUCAUUUGACGUUAGCUGCAGAAGAAGCACCGGCUAACUCCGUGCCAGCAGCCGCGGUAAUACGGAGGGUGCGAGCGUUAAUCGGAAUUACUGGGCGUAAAGCGCAUGCAGGUGGUUUGUUAAGUCAGAUGUGAAAGCCCGGGGCUCAACCUCGGAAUUGCAUUUGAAACUGGCAAACUAGAGUACUGUAGAGGGGGGUAGAAUUUCAGGUGUAGCGGUGAAAUGCGUAGAGAUCUGAAGGAAUACCGGUGGCGAAGGCGGCCCCCUGGACAGAUACUGACACUCAGAUGCGAAAGCGUGGGGAGCAAACAGGAUUAGAUACCCUGGUAGGCCCAGC